AUAUCAGUCAUGCAUAGCAUAUCAAUAAGCGGAGGAAAAGAAACUAACAAGGAUUCCCUUAGUAACGGCGAGUGAAGCGGGAAGAGCUCAAAUUUGAAAUCUUCAAGGUUUUACCUUGACGAAUUGUAGUUUAAAGAAGUGUUUUCUGUUGAAGUUUUGGUAAAAGUUCUUUGGAAUAGGACAUCAUAGAGGGUGAGAAUCCCGUAUUUGACCAUUACUUUCAGCUUUGUGAUACACUUUCAAAGAGUCGGAUUGUUUGGGAAUGCAGUCCAAAAUGGGUGGUAAAUUUCAUCUAAAGCUAAAUAUUGGCGAGAGACCGAUAGCGAACAAGUACCGUGAGGGAAAGAUGAAAAGAACUUUGAAGAGAGAGUUAAACAGUACGUGAAAUUGUCAAAAGGGAAGCGUUUGACACCAGUGUUGUUUUCUCGAAAAUCAAUUAAAAAGAGUUGGAUUUUGUGUUGUAUUGACUUUAUCAGGCUUUCUUCACUCUUUUCCAGCUUUUUUAAUGCACUUUUCGUUUAACAAGUCAACAUCAGUUUCUUUUGUUGUAAAAAGGUCAUUGGAAGGUGGCUUUCUCUUCGGAGAAAGUGUUUAUAGCCUUUGACUCAUGCAAUCGGAGAGACUGAGGUCUGCAGCGUAGAUCCUUCGGGGUUAGAUACAUUUGUGCUAAGUUAUAGCUUUUCAUAGACAACUUGUUGACUAUGUUUAGUCUUGUAGCUUACUCGCUUAUGCUAUUUUACCUACGCUUAGGAUGUUGAACUCUAUCACACACA
rnacentral:rRNA from 1 species